AUGGCAGAGGCUGACGGUGAUGACUCGCUCAACCCCAUGUCGAUCCUCAUAGACGAGCUCCAGAACGAGGAUAUUCAGCUUCGCGUCAACAGCAUCAAUAAGCUGUCCACCAUCGCGUUGGCCCUUGGAGUCGAAAAGACCCGCAGUGAGCUUCUGCCCCUCAUUAUAGACAUCUUGUACGAUGAGGACGAGGUCCUGUUGGCCCUGGCGGAGCAGCUGGGCACCUUCACCCCUCUGGUCGGAGGUCCCGAGUAUGUUCACUGCCUGCUGCCACCCCUAGAGUUGCUGGCCGUGGUGGAGGAGGCCAUAGUGCGGGAGAAGGCGGUGGAGUCCCUGAGGGCCAUCUCGCAUGAGCACUCACCCUCCCAUCUCGAGGACCACUUUGUGCCACUCGUGAAGCGGCUGGUGGACGGCGACUUAGUCAACUCUCGCAUCUCAGCCUGUAGCCUUUUCUCCGUCUGCUACCCUGGCGUGUCCAUUGCCAUCAAGGCGGAACUUCUACAGUGCUUCCGGGAUCUGUGCUCAGAUGACAACCUCUUGGUGCGAUGUGCAGCAGCCUCCAACCUGGGGGAUUUCGCCAAGGUGCUUGAGCUGGAUGACAUCAAGAGCGAGAUCAUCCCCAUAUUCUCCAACCUGGCCUCUGAUGAGCAGGAUUCGGUGCGGCUGCUAAUGGUGGAAGUGUGCGUGAACAUCGCCCAGCUCCUGCCCCAGGAGGCCCUGGAAGCCCUGGUGAUGAUCACCCUGUGCCAGGCUGCCGAGGACACAUCCUGGCGCGUCCGUUACAUGGUGGCCGACAAGUUCACAGAGCUCCAGACAGCAGUGGGGCCUGAGAUCACCAAGACGGGCCUGGUCCCUGCCUUCCAGAACCUGAUGAAAGACUGUGAGGCCGAGGUGAGGGCCGCUGCCUCCCACAACCUCAAAGAAUUCUGUGAAAAUCUCUCCACUGACUAUCGGGAGAAUGUGAUCCUGACCGAGAUCUUGCCCUGCAGCAAGGAGCUGGUCUCAGACAUCAACCAGCAUGUCAGGUCAGCCGUGGCCUCCGUCAUCAUGGGCCUCUGCCCCAUCCUGGGCAAAGAUAACACCAUCGAGCACCUCAUGCCCCUUUUCCUAGCUCUGCUGAGGGAUGAGUGCCCGGAUGUGCGGCUGAACAUCAUCUCCAACCUCAGCUGCAUGAAAGAGGUGAUCGGCAUCCUGCAGCUGUCCAAAUUCCUGCUCCCCACCAUCAUGGAGCUUGCGGAGGAUGCCAAGUGGCGGGUGCGUCUGGCCAUCGUUGAGUACAUGCCUCUGUUGGCUGGACAGUUUGGGCUGGAGUUCUUUGAUGCGCAGCUCCACUCCUUGUGCAUGUCCUGGCUUGUGGAUCAUGUCUAUGCCAUCCGCGAGGCGGCCACCAACAACCUGAAGAAGCUGGUGGAGCUGUUUGGGAAGGAGUGGGCCCUUGCCACUACCAUCCCCAGGGUCCUGACCCUGUCUGAGGAACCCAACUACCUGCACCGCAUGACUACGCUCUUCUGCAUCAAUGUGCUGUCUGAGGUCUGUGGGCAGGAGAUCACCACCAAGCACAUGCUGCCCACAGUGCUGUAUAUGGCUGAGGACCCCGUCGCCAAUGUUCGCUUCAACGUGGCCAAGUCCCUACAGAAGAUUGGGUCUAUCCUGGACAACAGCACACUGAAGACUGAGGUCAAGCCCAUCCUGGAGAAGCUGACCCAGGACCGGGGACGUGGACGUCAAGUACUUUGCCCAGGAGGCUCUGACUGUCCUGUCUCUCGCCUGAUGCUGGAAGAGGAGCCAACGCCAGCCUCUGGUAUCCACUCUCCCCCUCCCUCCCCCCAAGUCCCUCCUUUGGGGAGACAGUGCCCUUGGCUGUCACUCCCUGUGCAUGUUCUGACCCCAGGCCCCUCCCCCAGCACGGUUGCUGGCCCCAGCCUGGGAAUCCAACUUCUCACCAUCCACUCCCUCGGGGUUGGGGGUGCCCAAGGUGGGACAGAGCAGAGAUCCUAGGAGGAAGGGUUGUUCAUGCUGCGCUGUGUGGUGAUGCUGGCAUCCCAGGUUGCAGGCUCCUGUUGCUAUGAGGACCCCUCCCCUAUCGAUUUCACCACCUCCCUUCCUUCCCCCUCAGUUGGUUGUUUGUGUCAGUUGUGCCAUUUUUAUUUUAUUCCUUUUACCUCCUUUGCCAGAGAAAUAAAGAUCUAGAAAAUUUUUUAAAAAUGAAAAUAGAUUCAUGGGAAAAUACAUGUUUCCGCCAAAA